CUGGGCACGGGGAUGCUCCAGGUCCUUCCUCAGCUCCACAGCCUCCACAGGCACUGCUCCAGGAGCUCCCUGUCCCUGCUUUGUGGAGGAUCCAGAGCUGGACACAAGCACUCCAUAGGAUCCCUCCCUGCCCUUCUGGAAAUGCUCUUCUCGGGGUUCCAUUGACUGCUUGCUCCAAGAGCACUGCGGGCUCAGGGACAGCUCAUUGUCCCCCAGGUCCUUGUACUGCUCCUACAGCCUGUGCUUGUUCUUACCCAGGCACAGGAUUCUGCAUUUGUCUGUCACAGUUGAGACAGCCACAACACACAGAGUGUCACCACACAAUUUUGCAGAGCUUCAACCCAUACAGAGUAACACCUUACCAUUUCAGAAAGCUUCAAGUAUCAACCCCUCUUGUUCUUCAGCCCAACCUUUUAUACCCCUCAUGUUCCUGCAUUGCCCUCCUGUGUGCCCUCUCUUCCCUUUGGUGCACCUGGGCACUCCAUGGCUCAUGCUUUUCACCUGCUUCUCACAGCUGUGCCCAUUGGGGAUAAGGCUGGGCCCACUCCCAAUUACCACAAACUGUCUGCCUCCAUUUGUCUUUGUUCAAGUUCAGGCAGUUCCUCUGUGUCCAUCCAGCCUGUCAGGUCUCUCAGGGCUAUCAGCCACUGCUCUGUGCUCAGUGAUUUCUGAGGAGGCUUUUGUGCCUCAGCCAACAGGGCCUAGCGCUGAGCCCUGGGGACACCGCCAGUGACAGGCCUGCAGCCAGGCCCGGUCCUUUGUGUUUAGAACUGGUUUUAGUACAGCUCAGCUGUGGUUUAAGUGUAUUGUUUGAUCUGGGACUGUGUGGACACUGCCUCUAAACCUUGGUGCAGAUGUCAGGCCUUGUGGACUCACUCAUGACCUCAGUUCAUGCAGGGCAGAGAUGGGCCUGCUCAUAUCCCACAGAAAGGGUCUCCAUAGCUGGAAAUAUUGUGAAGAAAAUAAUGUGAUGUGACCUCUCCUGUCAUCCUCACGGAGUUCCUGAUUCCCCCUGCAAGAGGAGGCCAAAACAAGUUGCCAACAAUACCCACAAGACAGAGCUGCAGUUGUGCCAGCUGUGAGCAUCUCUGCUGCUCAGUGCAGCAUUCAACCGGCAGCAGCAACACCCAAAAUCCAACAUCUUUGGAUGCCACCACUGCCCCAGGUCACCCUCACUCACCCCUGGCAUCCAGCACAAAGCUCCACGUGCCCAGUCUACAUUUUUUACAAACCCAACCACAGCACCAACAUCUACUGACUGCUCAGGAAUCUUGGCUGGAAAACCAGAUACAAUUAGCUCAGCUCAGCUCCCCUGACAGAGGCACUGGGUGUCAUUUGAGACAUCCAGAGGAUCUCAGAUGUUUCCAAGAGGGUGGCAGAUGUGAGACAGGACCUCCAGGAGACCCUUUUGACCUGGCAGCUGGAGCCAGGUGGGUCCCCAGAGCCUCUCAAGUGGCAUCAGACUUUUGGAACUGGGUUGUGCCAAUGAAUUCUGAAAUUUCACUUUGAUAAAGAUUACAGGAAAGAUAAAGUUCCCUCUUUGGACAUUGCUACAAUGGGAAAAAAAAAAAAGCCAACAAACCCCAUGAGAAUGUCAAUUGAAACAGCUCAAAAUUUUGUUUGAAGUUUGUUCCUUUGAAGUCUUUGGGGUUGGGAUUGCCAUAGAUCCACUUUUAACCUUACAGGGUAAUGACUCUCCCUUAAGGCAGUGGCAGGGCUCUCCCCCCCAAAAAAAAAAAAAGAAUUCAAUGGAUGUUCAGGAAUCCACAGGAUUUUUACCAGGUAUCUCCCUGGGAGGGAGUUUUUACCCUGGUGGAAGGCCUCAGGAAAUUCUCUGGGGAUGUUUUGGGGAUCUUUGAUAAUUUAUGUUGCUUCUUUUCAGUUUUCUACAAUGUGCCCAGUCCUCAAGUGAUGUUAACAAUGUUUGAGCCAUUAACUGUUUCAGCAUCUCAUGGUUAUUAAGGGAAAUUGCCCCAUAACUGAGCCAGAGGUAGCUGUUCCCAGCCCUCCUGCAGUGGCCAUAUCUCCUCAACAUGUCCCAUUCCCUUGGCAUGAGCAAACAGAAUCCAUAUGUGAAAAUGAUGACUUCACAUCUGAGCAGGCUGUCAUUUCUGCAGGCAUCAGGCCUGUGACUUCAUCCUUCUCCUCUGAUAUUGGCAGAGCACCAGAAACCCAAAAUAUGAAACACUCCUCUGAAAUAAAAUACCCCUGAAAUGGUCUCUUUAUGGCUUAAAAGUAAAAACAGAGUAUGCAAAGCAGAAACAAAUAGGACAUUCAUACUUCUGUCCAAUGGUAGAGCUCCUUUAUUCACCAAGCUUAUUAGCAAUCUUGUCCAAUUCUGCAAAUAUUAUGAAUAUUGAAUUCCAGAUCAGCCAGGUAAGAGCUUUUUUGUAUUAAAAUAAAUGUGCACUUGUAUGUCAUUUGGACAUCUCUGACAGAUACAAAUGAGGCAUUAAUAAAGUGCUUCUCAUGCUCAGUUUUAAGCAAUGACAUUUACAGGUGUAAGAAUUCAAAGUUUUGACAUGAAAAAGCACAUUGUUAACAUGAAGGAAAAGUGCAUCCACACAUGAAUUUCAGCAAGAUUUUCUGCACUAAUGACCUAAACACACUAAUAUUAGCACAAGUGAUGUAGUGUUAGGUUUCCACCAGGAUAAACGUGACAGAAUGGGCAAAACCUCACUCAAUGCCACGAGUGCAUUGCUCAAAUCGUGUCUCUAAUCUGUGAGGACAUUACAUCAUGAGUCACUCAAAGGAAAGGGCAGAGUUUCCUACCAAAUCCAUUACAAGAAGAAAGUGACAUUUAGAAGGCAGAAUAUGUGAAUUGUAUCUCACAGGUAGAGUUCUUUUUGUUCUCGUGAGAAUUCUUUCCUUUAAGUAAAAGAGAAAAUUCCAGAAUUAUGUCCCCCUAGCUGAAAAUUAUUAAGCUUGUUUCUUAAAGGUAUAGGGCACCUGAAUAGAAGUAUCACUGAAAAAAAUGUUGUCUCCUCAUAGGUAAUUCAUGGAAGGGACGUUUUCUGGGGGUUUUUUUAGCUGUUGUUUAAAUACAACUUGUACCCUUUAGUGCAUCUGAACAGCAAACCCUGUUACAGUGUGAGAAAUGUUGUAAAGAUGAUGCCAGGCCAGCACUGGAAAGAUUCCCCACAGAUCACCUUUUAUUUACAUGAACUGAACACUUCUGGUGUCACUGAGAGACAAAUGGAAGUUGGACCUUGUAAGGAUGAUAAAAAUGUGUGUCCUGCUCUAAGCAUUUAAGCACUUACAAGAUUUUAUAAACACAGUGAGUUGGGGUUUUUAAAACACUAUUCCACAUCAGCACAUGACUUCCCAUCUCCUCUCCAAAUGUGGGUCAUUGUUGCACUUUCAGCCUGCCCCUUGCCAAGUUUGCCACUGUGGCGUUUUAUAAACGCCAAACUAAUUGCACAGGAUGGAGACAAAUGUGAUCAUGUCAAUUUUGUCAUGGCUUUAAAUACUGAAA